rnacentral:rRNA from 1 species
UACGGAGGGUACGAGCGUUGUCCGGAAUCACUGGGCGUAAAGGGCGCGUAGGCGGCCUGAUAAGUAGGGGGUGAAAUCCUGCGGCUUAACCGCAGGGCUGCCUUCUAAACUGUCAGGCUGGAGCACAGUAGAGGCAGGUGGAAUUCCCGGUGUAGCGGUGAAAUGCGCAGAUAUCAGGAGGAACACCGGUGGCGAAGGCGGGUCUCUGGGCCGAUAUUGACGCUGAGGAGCGAAAGCGUGGGGAGCGAACAGG